rnacentral:ribozyme from 1 species
UGCCCAGCAACUCCUAUCUCUACCUCCGCGUGUUACCGGUCGGGCUGCGAGCAGCUUUAGGGAAGAUUGGGUAACCAACUCCGGUGAGAGCUUUGGUCGUGGGCUAACAAAGAAGG